rnacentral:rRNA from 1 species
CCUACGAGGGGCUGCAGUGAGGAAUAUUGGUCAAUGGGCGGGAGCCUGAACCAGCCAAGCCGCGUGAGGGAAGAAGGUACAGCGUAUUGUAAACCUCUUUUGUCAGGGAACAAAGGCGGGGACUAGUCCCCGGAUGAGGGUACCUGAAGAAAAAGCAUCGGUUAACUCCGUGCCAAGAGCCGAGGUAAUCGGGAGGAUGCGAGCGUUUUCCGGAUUUAUUGGGUUUAAAGGGUGCGCAGGCGGCCUGUUAAGUACGCGGUAAAAGCCCGGGGCUCAACCCUGGCGAGCCGUUGACACUGGCGGGCUGGAGUGGGAGAGAAGUACGCGGAAUGCGCGGUGUAGCGGUGAAAUGCUUAGAUAUCGCGCAGAACCCCGAUUGCGAAGGCAGCGUACCGGCUCCACACUGACGCUGAGGCACGAAAGCGUGGGUAUCGAACAGGAUUAGAUACCCCUGUAGUC